rnacentral:rRNA from 1 species
UACGGGGGGGGCAAGCGUUGUUCGGAAUUACUGGGCGUAAAGGGCUCGUAGGCGGCCAACUAAGUCAGACGUGAAAUCCCUCGGCUUAACCGGGGAACUGCGUCUGAUACUGGAUGGCUAGAGUUUGGGAGAGGGAUGCGGAAUUCCAGGUGUAGCGGUGAAAUGCGUAGAUAUCUGGAGGAACACCGGUGGCGAAGGCGACACGCUGGGCCGUACCUGACACUGAUGCGCGACAGCAUGGGGAGCAAACAGG